GAUGAACGCUGGCGGCGUGCCUAAUACAUGCAAGUCGAGCGAACGGACGAGAAGCUUGCUUCUCUGAUGUUAGCGGCGGACGGGUGAGUAACACGUGGAGAACCUACCUAUAAGACUGGGAUAACUUCGGGAAACCGGAGCUAAUACCGGAUAAUAUUUUGAACCGCAUGGUUCAAAAGUGAAAGACGGUCUUGCUGUCACUUAUAGAUGGAUCCGCGCUGCAUUAGCUAGUUGGUAAGGUAACGGAUUACCAAGGCAACGAUGCAUAGCCGACCUGAGAGGGGGAUCGGCCCCACUGGAACGGAGACACGGUCCAGACCCCUACGGGAGGCAGCAGUAGGGAAUCUUCCGCAAUGGGCGAAAGCCUGACGGAGCAACGCCGCGUGAGUGAUGAAGGUCUUCGGAUCGUAAAACUCUGUUAUUAGGGAAGAACAUAUGUGUAAGUAACUGUGCACAUCUUGACGGUACCUAAUCAGAAAGCCACGGCUAACUACGUG
rnacentral:rRNA from 1 species